rnacentral:rRNA from 1 species
AAUAUUGCGCAAUGGAGGGAACUCUGACGCAGCGACGCCGCGUGAGUGAUGAAGGUCUUCGGAUCGUAAAGCUCUGUCCUUGGGGAAGAAGAUCUUCGGAUUUGACGGUACCCAAGGAGGAAGCCCCGGCUAACUACGUUCCAGCAGCCGCGGUAAUACGUAGGGGGCAAGCGUUGUCCGGAAUUAUUGGGCGUAAAGGGUGCGUAGGCGGCCUUUUAAGUCAGAUGUGAAAGACCACGGCUUAACCGUGGGGUUGCAUUUGGAACUGGAGGGCUUGAGUAUCGGAGAGGGUAGUGGAAUUCCCAGUGUAGCGGUGGAAUGCGUAGAUAUUGGGAGGAACACCAGUGGCGAAGGCGACUCUCUGGUCUGUAACUGACGCUGUGGCGCGAAAGCGUGGGGAUCAAACA